AACGAACCGAGCGACCGUUGUUCGGAAUCACUGGGCUUAAAGGGCGCGUAGGCGGCUUGCCAAGUCAGGGGUGAAAUCUUUCGGCUCAACCGGAAAAGUGCCUCUGAUACUGGCGAGCUAGAGGGAGGUAGGGGCAUGUGGAACUUCCGGUGGAGCGGUGAAAUGCGUUGAUAUCGGAAGGAACGCCGGUGGCGAAAGCGACGUGCUGGACCUCUUCUGACGCUGAGGCGCGAAAGCUAGGGUAGCGAACGGG
rnacentral:rRNA from 1 species